GAUGAACGCUGGCGGCGUGCCUAAUACAUGCAAGUCGAGCGAACGGACGAGAAGCUUGCUUUUCUGAUGUUAGCGGCGGACGGGUGAGUAACACGUGGAUAACCUACCUAUAAGACUGGGAUAACUUCGGGAAACCGGAGCUAAUACCGGAUAAUAUUUUGAACCGCAUGGUUCAAAAGUGAAAGACGGUCUUGCUGUCACUUAUAGAUGGAUCCGCGCUGCAUUAGCUAGUUGGUAAGGUAACGGCUUACCAAGGCAACGAUGCAUAGCCGACCUGAGAGGGUGAUCGGACACCCUGGAACUGAGACACGGUCCAGACUCCUACGGGAGGCAGCAGUAGGGAAUCUUCCGCAAUGGGCGAAAGCCUGACGGAGCAACGCCGCGUGAGUGCUGAAGGUCUUCGGAUCGUAAAACUCUGUUAUUAGGGAAGAACAUAUGUGUAAGUAACUGUGCACAUCUUGACGGUACCUAAUCAGAAAGCCACGGCUAACUACGUG
rnacentral:rRNA from 1 species